rnacentral:rRNA from 1 species
UACGUAGGGUGCGAGCGUUAAUCGGAAUUACUGGGCGUAAAGCGUGCGCAGGCGGUUUUGUAAGCCAGAUGUGAAAGCCCCGGGCUUAACCUGGGAAUUGCAUUCGAGACUGCUCUGCUAGGGUGCGGAAGAGGGAAGCGGAAUUUCCGGUGUAGCGGUGAAAUGCGUAGAUAUCGGAAGGAACACCAGUGGCGAAAAGCGGCUUCCUGGUCCAGCACCGACGUCAGGCACGAAAGCGUGGGGGAGCAAACAGG